GCGUUGUGUGUGUGUGUGUGUGUGUGUGUGUGUGUGUGUGUGUGUCGAAACUGCAUGAUGACGCCCACAAAGCACAUAUCAG
rnacentral:miRNA from 1 species